ACGGAGCUCUUCCUGCCUCUACCUCCCAAGGGCUAGGAAUAAAGACAUGUGUCACCACAGCAGCUACUAGGAAGCUAUUUGAUUUGAGAAACUGAAAUAAAAGCCUCCUUUCCAAGGAGACUCACAUGCUUAAGUCAUUCCCACAACAGAGAACAAACAGCUUGAGAACCCUCAGUUCUUUGGAUAAAUAGGAGGUUAGGUGCUCAGAGGAAGAGCCUGUGACCCCAUCAUAAAUAUUUAAGAGAAUCUUACUUUCAUUUCUGAAAGAGCCUUGCAGCUGUUUAUAGGGGUCAGCUUUUUCUGAGAGAAAAAAUUUUAUCCCAGGUUUUAGGGCUUUGACACUGACUUUGAGGUAAUCAGCAAUUCCCAGGAGCAUAACACACUACUGUGGUCCAAUCAGUUCUAUUUUUACUGAAGGUUGGCUCCCUGUGGCUCACACUUAACCUCUGUUAUUUCCUUAGUCUGCAGUGUAUAGUGGAAUAGAAGGGCUCAGCCCCCAGGAGAACCUCAUCUGAGGACCCAUAACCUGAGGGUGCUAUUGCAGGAAAAGCCAAAUGGAAGCUCCCAGAGCUGCCCUCCCUGCCAGAGAGUCAAAGGAAAGCAGAAACAUUUUCCCAAGGGAACGGCAGGGAUUUGUGUCGUCAUCAGAGACUGGAAAUACACAAGGAUGGUUAUACUUCUAUCACCAUCUUGGCGCAGACGACCACAAGCUUAGUCAGGAAGAGAUUCCUAUUGCACUGAUUCGAUUUACUUACUGCAACAGAUCAGCAUGGACUCCGGCCCCUCAGGGGCAGCUACUUAUUGAGAAGAUGCAUUAGUCUACCUCAGUGAAAACACUGAUCACGAAGCAGUUUGCCUUGACCUUACAAGACACCACAAGCUGUCCACCUUCACUGCUGUGUUCCAAGGUUAUGUCCGAUGCUCUUUCUCCGCCACGAUUGGGUACAGAGGAUUGUACCCAAUACCACGAUUGGUCAUCUCGUCUCACCAUCUCAAGUGAUUUUAUUUUAGUUUGUCACAUCGAUGGCAAGUUGGAGUGUCUGGAGAGUAGAGGAACCUACACACUUAUGCCUUGAUGAGCAGCAUGAGAGGGUCCUGACACCUGAGACCAUGAGGCCCUCAAAUGAUGCUUCCAGGCAUCCCAGCCAGCGACAGAGACAGCGAAGCCUCACUAGUCUGGUUUCCAUACCUCCCGCUUGCCUUGAGCCUGGCUGACACAUGCCCUCCUUGUGAUGGAUGUCACACUCAACAGCGACAAGCAUUUGGGCACUUGGCGGAGAUUGUCCUGGGAAGGAAGCGUUCUUGUUGUCAUAAGGACAAAUGACUCAGUGAAUAUGAGCCUGGCAAACAGCUCCUGCUUCUAUGAACGGCCACGGACACCCCAAAGAAACCAUCGGGUACCAACACUGGCUUGAGACACGAACAAGCGUAUGGUGACGUGUACUGUUUCAGCUUCCAUCCAAAGACACUGCUCUAACUGGAUCAGCAUUCUUUGCAGAGUUAGAGGUACCGGAUGGAAGAUCCUUGGAUAACAAAAAUCAGG